GAUGAACGCUAGCUACAGGCUUAACCCAUGCAAGUCGAGGGACCGGCGCACGGGUGAGUAACACGUAACCAACCUGACCUUUAGUCGGGGCUAGCCUUUCGAAAGACAGAUUCCUACUCGAUGUAUAUGAUGGGGAUGCGUUCCCUUAGGUUGUGGGUGAGGGAACGGCUAACCAAGCAUUCGAUGGAUAGGGGUUCUGAGAGGAAGGUACACCACAUUGGAACGGAGGCCCAGUCCAAAAGCGUACGGGAGGGAGCAGAGAGGAAUAUUGGGCAAUGAGCGUUAGCGUGAACCAGCCAAGUAGCGGGAAGGAUGAAGGCGUAUGGGACGUAAACUACUGAGAUAGAAGAAAAUGUAUUAUAUGAAUAAGGAUCGGCUAACUCCGUGCCAGCAGCCGCGGUAAUUC
rnacentral:rRNA from 1 species